rnacentral:piRNA from 1 species
UGCCUCAGCUGGGUGAAGUUGACCUGC